rnacentral:rRNA from 1 species
GAUGAACGCUGGCGGCGUGCCUAAUACAUGCAAGUCGAGCGAACGGACGAGAAGCUUGCUUCUCUGAUGUUAGCGGCGGACGGGUGAGUAACACGUGGAUAACCUACCUAUAAGACUGGGAUAACUUCGGGAAACCGGAGCUAAUACCGGAUAAUAUUUUGAACCGCAUGGUUCAAUAGUGAAAGACGGUCUUGCUGUCACUUAUAGAUGGAUCCGCGCUGCAUUAGCUAGUUGGUAAGGUAACGGCUUACCAAGGCAACGAUGCAUAGCCGACCUGAGAGGGGGGUUCGGCAACACGGAAAUUGGACCACGGUCCAGACUCCUACGGGAGGAAGCAGUAGGGAAUCUUCCGAAAUGGCCGAAAGCCUAACGGAGCAACGCCGCGGGAGUAAGAAAGGUUUUGGGUUCGUAAAACUUUUUUAUUAGGAAAGAAAAAAUUGGAAAGUAACUAGGCACGUCUGAACGGAACCUAUCCAGAAAGCACCGCUAACCUACGG